GGACCCGCACAAGCAGCGGAGCAUGUGGUUUAAUUCGAAGCAACGCGAAGAACCUUACCAGGACUUGACAUCCCGAUGACCGGUUCUUAACCGAACCUUCUCUUCGGAGCAUCGGUGACAGGUGGUGCAUGGUUGUCGUCAGCUCGUGUCGUGAGAUGUUGGGUUAAGUCCCGCAACGAGCGCAACCCUUGCCAUUAGUUGCCAUCAUUAAGUUGGGCACUCUAGUGGGACUGCCGGGGAUAACUCGGAGGAAGGUGGGGAUGACGUCAAAUCAUCAUGCCCCUUAUGUUCUGGGCUACACACGUGCUACAAUGGUCGGUACAAAGAGCAGCAAUACCGUGAGGUGGAGCAAAUCUCAAAAGCCGAUCCCAGUUCGGAUUGUAGGCUGCAACUCGCCUACAUGAAGUUGGAGUUGCUAGUAAUCGCGGAUCAGAAUGCCGCGGUGAAUGCGUUCCCGGGUCUU
rnacentral:rRNA from 1 species